GCUGGGGGGGAUAGAAAGAGGAGUGGACGAGGGUUUUCCAGACUAAUGCCGCCCUGUCCUGUAGCGGGCGGGCUGCGAGGACUGGGAAAGAGCCUCCCAAACCUGCCUCUGCCCGCUUUGCUUAUUUGUGCCCAUCUCUGCCAUGCCCAUACACCCGGUACGAGCACAGGCUGGCAGAACUGCUGGCAUAAAUGAGGACGUGACAGAGAAGUAGGACCUGUGCUUUUGGAGUGGGAGGAUCUGAGCUACAUCAUCACUAUCAUUAUGAAAUUCCAAGUGGCUAUGGUAUGGUGUGUAGUGACAUUGAUGUCCCAGAUGCCUUGGAUUUGUUACAGUACUCAUCAAUGAAGAUAAAGAUUUCAAGAGACACAGUUUUUAGAUGAAACAACGGACAACUCAACAUAACCCAAGCAAUGCUGUGUUUUAGAUAUCACCUUUUCUUAAACGGCAAAUGCAACAUUUUCACUCUGUGAGAACAAACAGUUGUAUUGCUGUGGAGACAAUGCAUGCACAGCACAGGCAAAGGGUGACACCCUGGCCCAAUGGGAGUUUCCCCAUUGACUUCAACAGAGUGAGAAUUUCACCCAAAAUCUUUGAAUUUACUGGAAAAAAAAUUUGUGAUCGUGUUUUUAUUUUCCUAUGUGCCUAUAAUAAAUAAAGCUUCAGCUCCUUGU